UGAAAAUGUCACUUUCACAUGUGGAAUUGCAAGUUCACAAGUGAAAAACAAUCACAUGUAAAAAUCUAAUUUGCACUUUCACAUGUGAUUAUUUUUUCACGUGGAACUUGCAAUUCCACAUGUGAAAAUGAAACGAUCAAUGUUUUGACUAAAACAUGGUUCAAACUAUAAUGUUGAUAUCAUGUCAGUCCUUGAGCGUGUUUGCAUUUCUCCAGCCCCAUCACUCAUAUUUUUACUGAAACUGUGGCAGGGGAAAUCCCUUUGUUAAUGUUUCAUUGCGGGAUGGACUGUUUAAAGCCCUGUAGUAGAGUAAUAGUUUGUACUAUAUGGUGAGUCAUUUACUUUGUAACAUUCAUAUCAAGCAAAACUUCUGAAGUCGAGAACAAAAAUUCUUAGUAUUGCAAACAAAAAUAAUUAUUUUGAAAGCAAAACGUAAACCCCAAAGUGUUGAAAGCAAAACAUAAACCCCAAAGUGUUGAGAACAAAACAUAAACCCCAAAGUGUUGAAGCUGAAACAUAAACCCCAAAGUGUUGAAGCUGAAACAUAAACCCCAAAGUGUUGAAGGUGAAACAUAAACCCCAAAGUGUUGAGAACAAAACAUAAACCCCAAAGUGUUGAGAACAAAACAUAAACCCCAAAGUGUUGAAGCUGAAACAUAAACCCCAAAGUGUUGAGAACAAAACAUAAACAUCAUACUCUGAUACCUCCUUUGUCCCACCUCCCACACAUGCGGUGACCUCACCCAUUAUAACCAGCAUGUCUAGAGAUACAAUCUCUCUUAUCAUCACUCAGUGCCUGGGCUUACCUCCGCACCCCAUCAUACCCCUGUCUGCACAUUAUUCCCUGAAUCUAUUCUACCACGCCCAGAAAUCUGCUCCUUUUAUUCUUUGUCCCCAACGCUCUAGGCGACCAGUUUUGAUAGCCUAUAGCCGUACCCUCAUCCUACUCCUCCUCUGUUCCUCGGGUGAUGUGGAGGUAAACCCAGGCCCUGCGUGUCCCCAGGUACCCUCAUUUGUUGACUUCUGUGAUCGAAAAAGCCUUGGUUUCAUGCAUGUUAACAUCAGAAGCCUCUUCCCUAAGUUUGUUUUACUCACUGCUUUAGCACACUCCACCAACCCUGAUGUCCUUGCCGUGUCUGAAUCCUGGCUUAGGAAGGCCACCAAAAAUUCGGAGAUUUCCAUACCCAACUACAUCAUUUUCCAUCAAGAUAGAACUGCCAAAUGGGGAGGAGUUGCAAUCUACUGCAGAGAUAGCCUGCAAAGUUCUGUCAUACUUUCCAGGUCUAUACCCAAACGGUUCAAACUUCAAAUUUUUUAAAUUAAUCUCUCCAGAAAUAAGUCUCUCACUGUUGCCGCCUGCUAUCGACCCCUCUCCGCUCCCAGCUGUGCCCUGGACACGUGAAUUGAUCGCCCCCAUCUAGCUUCAGAGUUCUUCUGUUAGGUGACCUAAACUGGGAUAUGCUUAACACCCCGGCCAGUCCUACAAUCUAAGCUAGAUGCCCUCAAUCUCACACAAAUCAUCAAGGAACCCACCAGGUACAACCCUAAAUCCGUAAACAUGGGCACCCUCAUAGACAUUAUGCUGACCAUCUUGCCCUCCAAAUACACCUCCGCUGUUUUUAAUCAGGAUCUUACUGAUCACUGCCUCAUUGCCUGUAUCCGCUAUGGGUCCGCGGUCAAACGACCACCCCUCAUCACUGUCAAACGCUCCCUAAAACACUUCUGCGAGCAGGCCUUUCUAAUCGACCUGGCCCGGGUAUCCUGGAAGGAUACUGACCUCAUCCCGUCAGUCGAGGAUGCCUGGUCGUUCUUUAAAAGUAAUUUCCUCACCAUCUUAGAUAAGCAUGCCCCUUUCAAAAAAUGCAGAACUAAGAACACAUAUAGCCCUUGGUUCACUCCAGACCUGACUGCCCUUGACCAGCAC
rnacentral:lncRNA from 1 species